UACAGAGGUCCCAAGCGUUGUUCGGAUUCACUGGGCGUAAAGGGUGCGUAGGUGGUCAGGUAAGUCGGAUGUGAAAUCUCCGAGCUCAACUCGGAAACUGCAUUGGAAACUACCUGGCUCGAGGGUUGGAGGGGGGACUGGAAUGCUUGGUGUAGCAGUGAAAUGCGUAGAUAUCAAGCGGAACACCAGUGGCGAAGGCGAGUCCCUGGACAACACCUGACACUGAGGCACGAAAGCUAGGGGAGCAAACAGG
rnacentral:rRNA from 1 species